UGUUAAUAUCUCUCAUAUAAAUAUAUUUAUCAUUUAAAUUAGUGAAUCUACAAAUUAUAGGUAAAUUAAUUUGUGUAGGUAAAUUAGUAUAAUAUUUCAUACAUGUUUAUCUUGCAUCCCAAGCCUCUAUUAGUAGGCAUAUUAUCGAUAUUUUUCAUAUAAAUAUACUUAUUAUCGACAUACUAUUGAUAUUUCUCAGAUAAAUAUACUUAUUAUUUAAUCUACAAAAUAUAGGUAAAUUUGUUGGUAUAAUAUAUUAAUAAUAGAAUAGGGGUUUGUUGCUCAUCAUAAUUAUGGUGAGUUAUGAUAUCCUUUAUUGAAUUAAUUAGGGAGUUGUGGCAUAAGUUGUAAAUAUAUUGUAAUAAUAGGUCACUUAUGUGCCUACAUGUCAGUUUAUUUUAAAAUUGGGUUUUAUUUGGAGAUUUAAAUUUAUGUGGGUUUUUGUUUAUGAAAUGCAACUUGUCCGGGUUUAUAUCUAAAGAACCCUUUUUUUAAUGAACAAGCGGUAUUAUCUGUCCUAAAGAAGUGGGUCAGGCCUUAUAAUGAGCUUAAUAAUCAUUUUGUUUGAAUUCGCUUUUAAUAAGAAUCGAAAUUAAGAUCUUUCAUUUACAAAUAAAGAUAAAUGUCACUAGACCAUAAUAUUAUUUAGUAUAUAAAAACUUAUAUCUAAUAUUUGUAUACUUUUCUAAAAAGAGAAUACAUAUAAUAGAAUGACGAAAAUGUUGUCCAAUUUCCAGAGAAGUGGCUCUAAACAACAUUUCAUAUGCAUAAGAAAAAAUAAAAUACGACGUCGGUAGCAGUUGCUUUCCUUGAUAUUUUAUGUGCUCCAUAAAAGAAAGUACCUCCCUAUAUCAAGCUUUAUAUGCAGUCUUCAGUCAAUUAACUUACUAGUACAGUUAUACAAACCCUAGCCGCAAGAAGAGGAAAACCCAAAGAAAAACUUCCCACCGCGGACCCCAGCUUUUGGCUUUGGGGUCGGUCAUAAUCCUUCUUAAUUUUAUUCUUUUUUUUCCCCAUUUUUGGUAGUGGUCUCACUUUGUCGAGAAGAGCUUUUGAGGUUGUGGUUGUGAUCACUCUUGUUCUAAGGAGGAGAGCUUUUAUAGCAAUUAUGAAUUACUGCUCAACCCUGGAUCUUAAAGUAACAAUUAUUGUUCAAAUCUAAGGUGGUGAUUUCGUAGUUUGUGCACUUGGAAAAGAUUAUGCGGAGGAAGCUCGACAUUUGUUAGAGGUGACUCAUAACAGGAUUUUCGUCAACGAUCACAAGAUCAUCAAAGGAUGGUGCAAUCUUUCCUUCGUGGGGUCGUUGCAGUGGUUCGAGAGAUUUACAAUCAUGUUUUCUUGUCGUUGCAAAGCUUUUAGGUGAUGGUUCACCUUGUGUGUCUUGAUGGUGUUAGGUCCGGCUUGUAGGACUUGGUCCUUUGUGAGCUUAUCUUUCAUGUUGGUUAGGUGCGGGUCUCCCGUGAUUGAUGAAUUGUACUUCUGAGGAUUUUAUUUUAUAUCGUGUCAUUUUUUUUGUUUUGUUUUGCUUGUGGUUUAGUUGUUUGUUCACUUGGCAAAGGACUAUCCGGCUUGUAGGACUUGGUCCUUUGUGAGCUUAUCUUUCAUGUUGGUUAGGUGCGGGUCUCCCGUGAUUGAUGAAUUGUACUUCUGAGGAGUUUAUUUUAUAUCGUGUCAUUUUUUUUGUUUUGUUUUGCUUGUGAUUUAGUUGUUUGUUCACUUGGCAAAGGACUAUAAGGACAUCUUCGUGAUGUCUCAUAGUAGGGCUUCUUAUUCGAAUGAGCGUUGUCUUUUGCAAGUUCAUCCAAAGUAAUGCAUUGUUUUGUCCUCUUGAGCGUUAUCCUUCUAUUUGGUUAAAUGUGAUUUUGUGGAGUAGAUUUUGUAUUGUCUUUCUCUUGCGUUGAAGUACUUAUUACCUGAAAAAAACCUUACUAGUACAAUUAAAUCUGCUCUAUGUUAACUUGUUGAUUUAGCUAUCAAUAAUAGUUAUUAUUAUUUUAUUGCAUAACUUUUUAAAGAAGAAUUUUAUUGAUAAAAUAAAGGAAGACUCUGUGGACUAAUUAUUAACCCUUGGACUAAUAUCAUAUACUAAUCGAAUUCAAAAGACAAAGGAAGACUUUGUGGGAUCCAUUCAAAAGAUAAUAGAAAACCACAAAGUAUAACAACAUUAUUUUCCGAUUUCAUACUUUACCCUUUACAUCCACUUAUAUGAGCUCCACAAAGCUGCUUUGGGCCUUUGAUCCUUGGUUGUAGAAGAGAAAAGCUUAUGCAUUAAGCAAAACCUUUUUCAAAAUACAUUUUGGGGAAAUAAAAAAAAACUUUUUUAAAAUUGACUUUAUUGGUAAUUGGCGGUUAGAACUGUACAGUAACACUCUCGUACAUUUUUACACUAAUCUAUACUAGGAUGAAAGAAAAUGGUUUGAAUAUGAGAUGUAGUGGAUUGAAGAAGAAAACCUUUACCACUAGGAAAAUUCAUCACUUACAAUAAUCUUGUACAUUUAAAAUUAACUCUUGUAAGUUGAACAUUUACCAUUGAACUUAAAUCCGAGUUGAUUUCCUCUCUCCUACUAUCUAUUUGUAUAAAAACUCUUAAUCAUUUAUAACUUAUCAUAUC
rnacentral:lncRNA from 1 species